rnacentral:rRNA from 1 species
UACGAAGGGGGCUAGCGUUGUUCGGAAUUACUGGGCGUAAAGGGCUCGUAGGCGGCCAACUAAGUCGGACGUGAAAUCCCUCGGCUUAACCGGGGAACUGCGUCCGAUACUGGAUGGCUUGAGUAUGGGAGAGGGAUGCGGAAUUCCAGGUGUAGCGGUGAAAUGCGUAGAUAUCUGGAGGAACACCGGUGGCGAAGGCGGCUCACUGGCCCGGUAACUGACGCUGAUGUGCGAAAGCGUGGGGAGCAAACAGG